GCUAGUUAGCACUUUUUUUUCUGGCUUCUUGAGAAUGACUCGAAAAAAUUGUUCAAAUUUAACAUGUAAUGUCACUGUCUAGGACCGCAAUUGAUUUUUAAAAAAGUUAACUUUAACGCAAGGAAUCUGCACAAACUGUACACGCUCACUAAAUUGAUCAAGGGAUGGACUGAAAUGAUUACAUAGAGUUAAGUGACAUUUACGCAUUUGGCAGACGGUUUUAUCCAAAGCAGCUUACAUUGCAUUAUCCUAUACAUUUAUACAUAGGCAUCUACAAUCAGGGGCGAUGAAGCUUCAUGUGACAUUUGUCAUAAAACAAUAGACCACUGUGGUAAUACCACAAAUGUGAUAAAGCAUCUCAAAGUAAAACACCCCAAAGAGCAUGACGAAGUACAGCUGAGGCGAGCAGAGGAGGUAACAGAGACAAGACCCUCAUCUUCUGGCUUGAGGCAGAGUUAUUUAGCAGAAUCCUUUCAGAAAAGCAGACAUUAUCCAGGUACCAACCAAGUGCAAGUGGUGAUAAGGUUAUUUGAAUACAAAAAGUCGAGUCACAUUUAUUUAUAUAAUUUAUACAACACAUAUUAUUUCAGAUAUGAAUAUAUUGCAGUAGCCUAAUUCAAGGGGAGCAGAAUAUUACACUGCAUAUGAGUAUUUAAGAAAGACUAGACAUUUUAGUUUAAACUAGGAUUUUUAUAAAAACUUGUUUUGGCCUAUACCUAUUUCUGUUAGCCAGUAUCUGGUGGAUAUUCUUAAUUAAAUAAUUUAUGUAUUAUUUAUAUAAUUUAAAACUUGUUUAUUAAAUAAAUUACGUUUAAGUAUCAAGUAAUAGCUGGGAGAAAUUAAAUAUAAAUUCUUACUGCCUGUAACAUAGCUUUAAGAACUUAUAUUUAUAUAUUUUAUACUUCAUAGAUGACUGUCAGAGAGCAUCGGCAAUUACAAGAAGCAUAGGAGAGAUGAUCGUGAGGGACCUCCAGCCAAUCUCAGUGGUAGAAGACAGAGGAUUUAUUUGUCAAGACUCUUGAUCCACGCUACCAAAUCCCAAGCCGGAAAAAGCUGAUGGGGGAUACAAUAAACAACAUGUAUGAAGACUGUAAAGCCAAAGUAAUGGCAACAUUACGAAAUGUAAACCAUGUGAUACUCACGACGGAUAUGUGGACCUCAAGGUCCACAGAGGCAUAUCUUACUGUGUCGUGUCAUUUUAUUCACAAUUGGCAAAUGCAGGAAUUUGUGUUAGAAACCGACAAUUUGAGUGCUCAGCAUACAGCUGACAAUAUUAAUGCAGAGCUGAAAAGAAUAGCUGAAGAAUGGGGCAUAACUCAAAAGGUGCUUGCAGUUGUCACAGACAACGGUGCGAAUAUGGUUUCUGCAGUUCACAAGGCUGGGUGGAAGCAUUACCCAUGUUUUGCCCAUACAUUAAACUUGUUGGUCAAAGAUGCAAUUAAAGGAUCUCCUGAGAUCUUUCACUUGCUGGAAAAAUUCAGAAGUAUUGUAUCAUUUUUCCACCACAGCACAAAAUCCACAGAGAAGCUUAAACAUACCCAAAAGCAGCUGAAGGUGACAGAACAUAAACUCAUUAUUUCAGUUGAAACCAGGUCGAAUUCAGCUUUCUACAUGUUGGAGAGGCUACAUGAACAAAUGGAUCCAGUUACAACAGCCCUCUGUCUACUCGGGAAGAGUGACCUGUGCUCUCAAAUGAAGAGCGGGCAGUUAUUAACCUCACCAUUGAGGUCUUGAAACCUUUUGAGGAGGCAACACGUGAAGUAUCAGCAGAGAAGCACAUUUCUAUCUCAAAGGUCAUUCCCCUAUUAUCACUGCUUCUUAGAGCAACUGCUGCGAGUGAGCGUCAAGGUUGCUCUUUUGCCAGAGAACUAGCACAGCAAUGUCAGCGAAGAUUCUGUGGGGUUGAAACCAUACACAGCCUCGCUGCCAGCACCUUUCUUGACAUGAGGUUUAAGCACCUGACAUUUCGUGACAUAGAUCAGGUAGAAACAGUGAAAAAGCGACUCCUAUCUGAAAUGCAGGAUGUCUAUUUGGCCACGUAUGAGUCAGCUGCUGCUCCACUAGAAUCUACCUCAACAUCUGUCCCAAGGUCUUUGUCAGUACCUACAGCAAGCUGUGCCUCAUCAGUGACUCCUCCAAUGACCCGAAGUACUGCAUCAGCUACGUCUAAAGGAGGCAUAUGGGUGGAUUUUAACGUCCAGGUUAUAUCAGCACAACAACAACAAUCGGAAAGCAGUGAUGCUAUAGUUGAAAUGCGUCGCUAUGCUGAGGAGAAAGUAGUUCCCUGAAACGAAGACCCACUAGUUUGGUUUAGAAAUCAUGUGCAAACCUUCCCAACUCUCAGCAAACUAGCAAAAAAAUAUCUUGGGAUCACUACAUCAUCUGUUCCGUCUGAGAGAAUUUUCUCAAAGGCAGGGGAGUUGAUCAGUCAAAGAAGAAACAGGCUAAAGGGGAAGAAUGUGAAUAUUCUCUUGUUCCUUUACAAAAACUUAUAAACCAGUUUUCAUGGUUUACACAAGCUUGUAUAUCAGUAUGCAAUGAAGAUUGCGACUUAAAUGUAAGAUUCAACCUGAAGUUCAGCUGAUUUGACAUUUAAAUAAUUUGAAGUGUUUGUAGCCUCUCAGACAUCCCUGGUUUGAUUUUCAGCGCAUUCCAGACCAUUGACUUUUAUAAGUUAUUUUAUCAUUUAUUAUUUGUUAGGUAUGUUUUGUUUAUUUUUUCAAAAGCAAGAGAUUUUGAUCGGUCAAAGAAAAACAGGAUAAGGAGGUUUAUUCCUUAUGCUGGAUAAGGAUAAGUUGUUUAUUCUCCAAAACCUAUAAAGGGAAUAAAAAUGUUUGUGAGAAGUGUAACAUUUUUUUGAUAUAUAGCCUACAGUGUUAUCUUUGCUUAUUCCAUUAAUAAUGUUCAUUAUUCUUAAUAAAUGUAAAAAAAAAGAAUCAUGUCCAUUGCAGUUUAUUUAAUAUUCAUAUCACUCACAUAAAAAUAUUACGUUGGAGUAUUGGUAUCGGUAUCGAUAUCGACGAUACUUGGCUUUCAAGUACUUGGUAUCGGAUCGAAAAGAAAAUAAUUGGUAUCGCCCAUCCCUAGUCUGCGCUCGAUGCGGCUGCCUCCUCUCCCCUCCCACUCAGAACACCGACUUUGAGUGUGACCGGAUGAUGAUUGGCUGUUCUGCCUUAAGUCCCGCCUCUCUUGGUGUGUUAGAUUUAUCGGUUAGCUCGUGCUGAGGAGGCGGGAACGGUUAUGGUUAUUUACGUCUUCCUUUUCCAGCGACUUUGAAUGAGUGUUUAUGCUUUUGAGGUUUUUAAAUAACCUUGAUAUGUGUUUGGGGAGAUGUUCUGUUUAUGUUUGUUGAUAUGUCGAGUGAUUUCUGAAUUAUAUUUAGGUUUUAGACUAAUGCUAAUUGCAAAUUGGGAUAUUGUUCAGAAAUAGCUAAAUUCAGUUAUUUAUGUGGCAUGCAAUGUAUAAAGUAACUGUGAUGAAGAAGGCAGGGAAUUGACGAGGAGGAGGGACAAAUUGUCCUUGUCAAGCAGUUUAUUUAUGGGUUUAUUGAUUUUGAUAUUUUGAACAUUGCUUUUUUUGUUUAGCUGAAUACUUUUGUGGAUACUUACCUAUUAUAUUUGAUUGUACCUGUUGAAGAACUAUGAACGAAGAGUGUAUAUUAUUUUAAUGUUUAAAAUCAGAAAAUUGUUACAUUAUUUAUACCACCAAAGAAAACGCUUUUUGUGGGCGUUUUUUUAAUAUCUAUUUUCAAGGUGCAAGUAAGCAAACUUUAGCGGUCACAGUCCUGUCAGACCAAUGUCACUAUCAAGCUUUCCACUGUCUUUCUCCCCUGGGAUAAUUAAAGUAUUUAUGAUUCAUUAGCAAGUCUACUGUUGUGUAUUUUCACUACAGAGUUUUGACUUAUUUUCUGUGUGUUCCAAAUGUGUUUUUAUACUUUACUAGUAUCACACAUUUAAACGGGAAGCUUUUUAUAUCUUGUAUGUUAUACCUUUUGUACCGUUCUGUCAUUACAUUCAACGUUUUCAUUGUUAACAAACAGACACAUCCAUCCCCCGCACUUUUGAAAAGCUUGCUACGCCCCUGCUUGUCACAAUGAAUCUGCGCAGCGCUUUUUUAGAGUUUAGCAGUUUUGUUAGAGUUAUGUUGUUUGUCAGGAAAGUGGAUCACACAAGCCAGAUUUGAGUAAAGCUGCGUAAGCUAAACUUGAGCUAAUUUAUUACUUGGCAGCUCAUGAGUUACAGCAAGACAACUUGCUCAUAAACUCACAUACAGAUGCUUUUAUCUUUUGGAUAGUUAGCUGUAAAUCAUGUGAUGGCUUAAUGUUUUAUCAUUACUUACUGCACACCAAGACAAAAACAACUGGAAUAGGGUGGCUUCACAUCUUUGGUUCUCUGACUGUGCUGUGCCUGUCUGCGAUGUGCCAUGUGUGCUCCAUCAUCCUCAAUACACACUGACUGACUACUGCGCAGGCACGUGAGUGGAGAAAGGCAUCUGAACUGACAGUCUUUUAACAUUUCCCGACCAUAUUCAGAUUUGUUUAAAGCCGUGCGCAAACAGAAGCAUGCACAUACAUAUAUAUUAACAAACUACAGCAUGUGUUUAACAGGGCUGAUGACAGUGACAGCAUGAGACUCAAAGGCGAUGUUGUUGUAUGAGGGUACCGGGUGUUUGAAUUUCCAGUCGUUAGGAAAAAGUAGACCGGUUCCUCCACCCCUCCCUGAUAUGCGUGGGCUGUGGGAGAAAGUGUAAUUAUUGGAGAGGGCAGCCGGUGUGGCAUUGUCCUCUGGUUUGAUCCAGGUUUCAGUAAGUGCUAAAAGAGAAAGACCAGAAUGUUUGGCAAUUGCUGUGAUGAAAUCUGCCUUGUUUACAGCAGAUUGCCAGUUCCAUAAACCAAUGGGAAAUGUAAUAGAGGUAGUUUUGGAUUCUGAAAGAGUGCGCAGAUUGUUAGCAUUAGCCAUGCGUGGCCUUCUACAUGUUACCAGUGAUUUACGAGUUGUAAUGACAGUAGGGAUUUGAAAACACAUAUUGAAAAAUGAAGAAAUGUACAAGACAAAUAAAGAAAAGAGAAUAAAGAUAAUAAAUAAAGUGCAAUAGUCGAAGUGCAAAAUAUUAAUACUCAAGUGCCUUGUCGGUGUCCUUGUUAGAUGGAUUUGCACAGAGUCGAUGGUCUUUACUCUCUUCGGUCUUCAAGCGAUGAGGGCUGCACGCUGUGGUUAAUCGCACGUAUAUAUCCAAUUAAAUCACGCAAUUGAAUUCAGCAGGACACUCCUUCCAAUAUCUCCCAAUAACAUGUGAAAAAAAGGCAAACUAACAGCACAUGACUCAGCGGACGCACACAAUGGAAACGAAACUGCGUUAGACUAAAUAAGACACUAUUAAUCAAUUAUACUUACAAGUUUCAGUUGAUUUUUAAGCUGUAACAAACUGCUUCUCCCUAACUAUCCUGCAGGCUUUGCUGUGACAGUGUCACAAAGUUUACUCAACUUUGGGACCUGAGGUUUUCAUAACUCUGUUUUCUCAAUGAAGUCACAUGUAUUUUAACACACACACAAUGUUAAAUGAAUCCAAUUUUCGAAUGAAUAUUAGGAGCCUACAUGUCUGAGUUUACUCAACUAAGAAAAUCAAGUCCACCCAACAUUACUUUCUUAUGCAAAACACUGAAAACCGUUGGUAGUCAUAUAAUUAUAUUGUAUGGAUACAAUACCAAUGACAAAAAAAUGGGGACAAACGUUUUUUCAAAAUAUCUUCUUUUGUGAGAAGAAAGUCAAACAGGUUUGGAAUGACACAAGGGGCCCUAUUUUAACGAUCUGAAACGCAAGUGUCAAAGCGCAAGUAACUUUGUGGGCGGGUCUCGGCACUGUUGCUAUUUUCCCGUAGGAUAAAUGGCUCUUGCGCCUUGCGCAAAUCUAAAAUGGGUUGGUUUGAAGUAGCUUCAUUAUUCAUAGAUGUGGUUUGGGCAUAACGUGAAAUAAACCAAUCAGAGCGUCACCCAACAUUCCCUUUAAAAGCAGGUGCGCAAGUUCCAUUAUGGAUUGCUAUUAUUAUGGCGUAUUUACCAGGCGCACGCCAGGAGCGGUUCACAGCCGAGGAGACUGAUGUUCUUGUAAGAGCAGUGAAAGACAGAGAAGUUGUGUUGUAUGGGGAUGGGAGAAACCCACCCAAAAUAGCGUCGGUUAAACAGGCGUGGGAGGAAAUAGCCAAAAUUGUUUCAUCAGCUUCAUCACUAUCCCCAGGACGAUGCCAGCUACAAUGACAUCAGAAGACGGGGAAAGUCCGAGCUUGCCAGCAUCAAUCGGGCACGCCGUGUAACGGGAGGUGGAUCUGCCUCUACUCAGGACCUGACGCCAGCAGAGGACAUCGCUGCGUCCACCCUCACCGCUGAAAGCAGUCCAACCCCAAGCUUCGCAGGAAGACCCUGGCCUAGUGAGCCGUGCGCAUGGGCCAUCUGAGACAGGAUGCCGUCUUGACAGGAUGGCGAUGUUGCUGCGGCCUCUCGGGCGCAUCUCCUCAAGCCUGGAGAGGAUUGCUGCAGCCAUGGAGCGUGGCCCUUCAAGCGCACUACCACCUCCUGUUGUGCCUCUUCCUCCUUCCCCCACUCCAUCUCCAUCCACCCGUUCCACCAGGCGCACAUCGCGCAAUGCCAUUCCCGGACCCUCAGGUGUCCAAUCCCGCCGUGGCGCGCGUUGCAAAACUACCAGAGGAGGGAAAAAGAAAUGAACUUUUUCUGUUUAAAUAUUUUUAACCUCAUUUUCCAUUUGUAUUUUUUUUUUAUCAAUUACUGUUUGCUAUUGAUUUUUCUUUUUGACAAAAUACAAAUAAAUUUCACAAAUAAAUACUUUUGAAUGUU